AAAUAAUAAAGAGAAGUCUUAGAUUUAGAAUCUAAAAAAUACAUAAUUAUUAUAAAUGUACUUUAUUAAAAAUUUUAAUUUAAAAAUUUUUUGUUACCUUAAACAUAAAUUACAUUAAGUAUAGAAGAUAGAACAAAACUAAAAAUAAAAAACCGAUAGGGAAUAACAAAAAAAACUAAGCUAAGAUAAAACCUUCUACCUUGUGUAUCAUAAUCUAUCUAACUAAAAAAUAAAUUUUAUAAACCCGAAAGUAGAGUGAGCUAUUUUUAUUUAGUUAAGAACAAAAAAAAUAAUGUAACAAAAUUAUUAUUAAAAAUAAAAAUAGAGAUGAAAUGUCAUUCGCACCUACAGAUAGCUGGUUACUUUUUAAACACAUAUAAGUGUGACUUCUAAAACUGAAGUAUACUGAUUUUGGGAAAAGCUAAAAUCAGAAAAAGAAUUAUUUAACUAAAUAUACUAACAAAUCAUCCUAGGGCUAAGAAUACCCAAGCUAAAAAACCUCUUAAUUUGGUAAAUCCAAUUAAAUAUAUAAUUUUAAUUAAGAAUAAUCCGUUUUACCACAAAAACAUAAAAAGUUAUUAGAAAAAACAAUAACAUUCUUAAAAACAAUGGUAGAAUAAGUAAAAAUAAUAAUUCUCCCAUCCCAAUAACACCAAAAAUGCUCAAAGGAACUCGGCAAAUCUAAGCAACGACUGUUUAACAAAAACAUAGCUUCUUGCACCCAUAAGAAGUUCUAUCUGCCCGGUGACCAUCGUUUAACGGCCGCGACUAAGUGCUAAGGUAGCAUAAUAAUUUGUCUUUUUAUUGGAGACUAGAAUGAAAGAAGAUAACGAGGCUUAACUGUCUCCAAGCAACCUAUUAAAAUUGAUUUAAGAGUGAAAAAUCUCGUAUACUAGUGAAGGACGAAAAGACCCUGUAGAGUUUGUAGUGAAAUUAAUAAAUUAAUUAAUUCACUUUUAUUGGGGCAAUAAAAGAUCAAAUUUAAACUCUUUUAAAAGGUUUUUGACAUAUCAAAAAAAAGAUCCUCAAAGAGAAAAAAGAAAAACUACCUCAGGGAUAACAGCGUAAUUCUUCCAGAGAGAUCUAAUUGAAGGAAUGAGUUUGCGACCUCGAUGUUGGACUAAGGUAACUUUUAAAUGCAGAAGUUUAUUAAAGUAAGCCUGUUCGGCUUUUAAAACCUUACAUGAUCUGAGUUCAGGUCGGCGUAAGCUAGUCCGGUUUCUAUCCUCACUAAAAAAUUUUUUUUAAUUACGAAAGGAACAAAAAAAAAGAAUAAUUCUUUUAUAAAAAAUAACAUACCAAUAAGCAUAAAACCCCACGAACACCA
rnacentral:rRNA from 1 species